rnacentral:rRNA from 1 species
UACAGAGGUCCCGAGCGUUGUUCGGAUUCACUGGGCGUAAAGGGCGCGUAGGUGGCGGGGUAAGUCGGAUGUGAAAGCUCGGAGCUCAACUCCGAAAUGGCAUUGGAAACUACCUUGCUCGAGGGUUGGAGGGGGGACUGGAAUGCUUGGUGUAGCAGUGAAAUGCGUAGAUAUCAAGCGGAACACCAGUGGCGAAGGCGAGUCCCUGGACAACUCCUGACACUGAGGCACGAAAGCUAGGGGAGCAAACAGG